UACGUAGGGGGGCAAGCGUUUGUCCGGAAUCAUUGGGCGUAAAGCGCGUGUAGGCGGCCCGGUAAGUCCGCUGUGAAAGUCCAGGGCUCAACCCUGGGAUGCCGGUGGAUACUGUCGGGCUCGAGUCCGGAAGAGGCGAGUGGAAUUCCUGGUGUAGCGGUGAAAUGCGCAGAUAUCAGGAGGAACACCAAUGGCGAAGGCAGCUCGCUGGGACGUGACUGACGCUGAGACGCGAAAGCGUGGGGAGCAAACAGG
rnacentral:rRNA from 1 species